rnacentral:rRNA from 1 species
GAUGAACGCUAGCGGGAGGCCUAACACAUGCAAGCCGAGCGGUAUUGUUUCUUCGGAAAUGAGAGAGCGGCGUACGGGUGCGUAACACGUGUGCAACCUGCCUUUAUCUGGGGGAUAGCCUUUCGAAAGGAAGAUUAAUACUCCAUAAUAUAUUGAACGGCAUCGUUUAAUAUUGAAAGCUCCGGCGGAUAGAGAUGGGCACGCGCAAGAUUAGCUAGUUGGUGAGGUAACGGCUCACCAAGCCGAUGAUCUUUAGGGGGCCUGAGAGGGUGAUCCCCCACACUGGUACUGAGACACGGACCAGACUCCUACGGGAGGCAGCAGUGAGGAAUAUUGGUCAAUGGGUGCAAGCCUGAACCAGCCAUCCCGCGUGAAGGACGACUGCCCUAUGGGUUGUAAACUUCUUUUGUAUAGGGAUAAACCUACCCUCGUGAGGGUAGCUGAAGGUACUAUACGGAUAAGCACCGGCUAACUCCGUGCCAGCCGCCGCGGUAA